UGGGGAAUAUUGGACAAUGGGCGAAAGCCUGAUCCAGCCAUGCCGCGUGUGUGAAGAAGGUCUUCGGAUUGUAAAGCACUUUAAGUUGGGAGGAAGGGCAGUUACCUAAUACGUAUCUGUUUUGACGUUACCGACAGAAUAAGCACCGGCUAACUCUGUGCCAGCAGCCGCGGUAAUACAGAGGGUGCAAGCGUUAAUCGGAAUUACUGGGCGUAAAGCGCGCGUAGGUGGUUUGUUAAGUUGGAUGUGAAAUCCCCGGGCUCAACCUGGGAACUGCAUUCAAAACUGACAAGCUAGAGUAUGGUAGAGGGUGGUGGAAUUUCCUGUGUAGCGGUGAAAUGCGUAGAUAUAGGAAGGAACACCAGUGGCGAAGGCGACCACCUGGACUGAUACUGACACUGAGGUGCGAAAGCGUGGGGAGCAAACAGGAUUAGAUACCCGUGUAGUCCCUGAGCGGGCUGGCAAGGCGCAU
rnacentral:rRNA from 1 species